rnacentral:rRNA from 1 species
CAGCACCUCGAGUGGUCAGGAUGAUUAUUGGGCCUAAAGCAUCCGUAGCCUGCUUUGUCAGUUUUCGGUUAAAUCCAUACGCUCAACGUAUGGGCUGCCGGGAAUACUGCAAAGCUAGGGAGUGGGAGAGGUAGACGGUACUCGGUAGGAAGGGGUAAAAUCCUUUGAUCUAUUGAUGACCACCUGUGGCGAAGGCGGUCUACCAGAACACGUCCGACGGUGAGGGAUGAAAGCUGGGGGAGCAAACCGGAUUAGAGACCCGAGUAGUCC